rnacentral:rRNA from 1 species
AGAUUGAACGCUGGCGGCAUGCCUUACACAUGCAAGUCGAACGGUAACAGGUCUUCGGAUGCUGACGAGUGGCGAACGGGUGAGUAAUACAUCGGAACGUGCCCGAUCGUGGGGGAUAACGGAGCGAAAGCUUUGCUAAUACCGCAUACGAUCUACGGAUGAAAGCAGGGGACCCGCAAGGGCCUUGCGCGGACGGAGCGGCCGAUGGCAGAUUAGGUAGUUGGUGGAUAAAGCUUACCAAGCCGACGAUCUGUAGCUGGUCUGAGAGGACGACCAGCCACACUGGGACUGAGACACGGUCCAGACUCCGUACGGGAGCCAGCAGGUGGGGAAUUUUGGACAAGU